GUGAAGCGGCAACAGCUCAAAUUUGAAAUCUGGCUGCCUGUGCAGUCCGAGUUGUAAUUUGAAGAGGAUGCUUUUGGCAAGGUGCCUUCCGAGUUCCCUGGAAUGGGACGCCAUAGAGGGUGAGAGCCCCGUAUGGUCGGUCGCCGAGCCUCUGUAAAGCUCCUUCGACGAGUCGAGUAGUUUGGGAAUGCUGCUCAAAAUGGGAGGUAAACCCCUUCUAAAGCUAAAUAUUGGCCAGAGACCGAUAGCGCACAAGUAGAGUGAUCGAAAGAUGAAAAGCACUUUGAAAAGAGAGUUAAACAGCACGUGAAAUUGUUGAAAGGGAAGCGCUUGCGACCAGACUUGUGCUCGUCGAAUCAGCCGUCGCUCGUCGGCGGCGCAUUUCGGCGGGCUCAGGCCAGCAUCAGUUCGCUGUAGGGGGAGAAAGGCGGUAGGAAUGUGGCUCUUCGGAGUGUUAUAGCCUACCGUAUAAUACCCCUCGGUGGACUGAGGACCGCGCAUCUGCAAGGAUGCUGGCGUAAUGGUUGUCAGCGACCCGUCUUGAAACACGGACCAAGGAGUCGUCCUAAUAUGCGAGUGUUCGGGUGUAAAACCCCUACGCGUAAUGAAAGUGAACGGAGGUGAGAGCUUCGGCGCAUCAUCGACCGAUCCUGAUGUUCUCGGAUGGAUUUGAGUAUGAGCAUAUUGGGCCGGACCCGAAAGAAGGUGAACUAUGCCUGUAUAGGGUAAAGCCAGAGGAAACUCUGGUGGAGGCUCGCAGCGGUUCUGACGUGCAAAUCGAUCGUCAAAUA
rnacentral:rRNA from 1 species